rnacentral:rRNA from 1 species
AACGAACGCUGGCGGCAUGCCUAACACAUGCAAGUCGAACGAUGCUUUCGGGCAUAGUGGCGCACGGGUGCGUAACGCGUGGGAAUCUGCCCUUGGGUUCGGAAUAACAGUGAGAAAUUGCUGCUAAUACCGGAUGAUGUCUUCGGACCAAAGAUUUAUCGCCCAGGGAUGAGCCCGCGUAGGAUUAGCUAGUUGGUGGGGUAAUGGCCUACCAAGGCGACGAUCCUUAGCUGGUCUGAGAGGAUGAUCAGCCACACUGGGACUGAGACACGGCCCAGACUCCUACGGGAGGCAGCAGUGGGGAAUAUUGGACAAUGGGCGCAAGCCUGAUCCAGCAAUGCCGCGUGAGUGAUGAAGGCCUUAGGGUUGUAUAGCUCUUUUACCCGGGAUGAUAAUGACAGUACCGGGAGAAUAAGCUCCGGCGAACUCCGU